AUACACACACACACACACACACAAUAUACAUAUAUAUACACACAUACACAUAUAAACACACAUAUAUGUGUGUGUAUGUGUGUGUAU